rnacentral:tRNA from 1 species
GCUUCUGUGGCUCAGUUGGUAGAGCAACGCAUUCGUAAUGCGUGGGUCGUGGGUUCGAAUCCCAUCAGAAGCU